UUCUUUUCCUCUUUUUCUCAUUUUUUCCUCUUUUUUUCCUUCCCCCUUCUCUAUUUUUUUCUUCCUCUUCUUUUUCCUUUUUCCUCUUUUGUUUUCCUUUUUCCUUCUUCUCUCUCCUCACCUUCCUUCCUCAUCUUUUUCCUCACUCCUCUUUUUUUCCCUUCCUUCUCCUCUAUUUCCUCUUUCCUCUUUAUUUCCCUUCUUCCUCCUCUCUUUUCACGUUCCUUCCUCAUCUUUUUCCCUUCCUCCGCUUAUCUUUUUCGCGCGCUUUCCUUCCUUCCCUUUUCAGGCGUUUCCUCCCCCGAGAAGUUUGAGUCUUCAGGCGGCGAUGACGUGGCGGCAUGAAUAAUGGAUGUAUACUAAACAGCCUAUUGUUGACAUCUUCGGAAAAAAGCUUUAGAGUGCGUCCAAAAUCGAUCCCAUUAUGAUACAGCGUCUCUGGAGCUCUUGUUUGGCUUGCAGAUGGCCCACGAAAAAGGACGCAAAAAGAUGGAAUAGAAAGGUAAAGUUCGACUACUCCAUUCACAUUAACUUGGAUAAUAGGCUCCUCCCCUUUCCUAAUCAGCGUACAUCAUUGGCUGGUUCAUACGUAAGCCCCGCCCCCUUUCGUCUCAGGCUAAAUGUGAUUGGUGGAUCGUGGCAAAGGUUAUGGAACAGAAAAAUAAUGUUAGACUAAUCCAUUCACAUUAACUUGGAUAAUAGGCUCCUCCCCUUUCCCAUUAAGCGCUCAUCAUUGGCUGGUUCAUACGUAAGCCCCGCCCCCUUUCGUCUCAGGCUACAUGUGAUUGGUGGAUCGUGGCAAAGGUUAUGGAACAGAAAAAUAAAGUUAGACUAAUCCAUUCACUUUAACUUGGAUUUUAGGCUCCUCCCCUUUCCUAUUCAGUGAACAUCAUUGGCUGGUUCAUACGUAAGCCCCGCCCCCUUUCGUCUCAGGCUAAAUGUGAUUGGUGGAUCGUGGCAAAGGUUAUGGAACAGGAAAAUAAAGUUAGACUAAUCCAUUCACAUUAACUUGGAUAAUAGGCUCCUCCCCUUUCCUAUUCAGUGUACAUCAUUGGCUGGUUCAUACGUAAGCCCCGCCCCCUUUCGUCUCAGGCUAAAUGUGAUUGGUGGAUCGUGGCAAAGGUUAUGGAACAGAAAAAUAAUGUUAGACUAAUCCAUUCACAUUAACUUGGAUAAUAGGCUCCUCCCCUUUCCCAUUAAGCGCUCAUCAUUGGCUGGUUCAUACGUAAGCUCCGCCCCUUUUCGUCUCAGGCUACAUGUGAUUGGUGGAUCGUGGCAAAGGUUAUGGAACAGAAAAAUAAAGUUAGACUAAUCUAUUCACAUUAACUUGGAUAAUAGGCUCCUCCCAUUUUCUAUUCAGCGUACAUCAUUGGCUGGUUCAUACGUAAGCCCCGCCCCCUUUCGUCUCAGGCUACAUGUGAUUGGUGGAUCGUGGCAAAGGUUAUGGAACAGAAAAAUAAAGUUAGACUAAUCCAUUCACAUUAACUUGGAUUUUAGGCUCCUCCCCUUUCCUAUUCAGUGAACAUCAUUGGCUGGUUCAUACGUAAGCCCCGCCCCCUUUCGUCUCAGGCUAAAUGUGAUUGGUGGAUCGUGGCAAAGGUUAACUCUUAUUGGUGUGCGAUGGGUUAGCCUGUUCUGUUCUCAGCGCUGUCAUCACGUCUCUUGGUUGAACGAACACACUCACUUCAGGAAUAAAACAGCUUCCCUUUGUUAGCCCGUUUCCCUUUUCUCUGCACCUCCCCACACAUACCCUGGACCUCUGUUAAUGUGAUGAGAGGCAUGUCCAACCCUCAUUAACUAUCAAUCCUUACCAAUACGCCAUUACACUCUUAUUAACCGAUCUCGAUCACUCCAGGAAUAAAACAGCUUCCCUUUGUUAGCCCAUUUCCCUUCCUCUGUACCUCCCCACACAUACCCUGGACCUCUGCUAAUGUGUUGAGAGGCAGGUACAACCCUCAUUAACUAUCAAUCCUUACCAAUACGCCAUUACACUCUCAUUAGCCGAACUCAAUCACUCCAGGGAUUAAACAGCUUCCCUCUCUGCAACUCUCAACACUUCGCCUGGAUCUCUCCUAAUGUGCUGAGAGCCACUUGCUGCCCUUAGUAAUCGACCAGUCCUUACCAACACUCCAGUAACUCUUUAACCAACUCUCAAUAUAGGGAUGAAACAGAAUACCCGGAUCACGCUAGCUCUUUCUCCUUCUAUUCAUAAUUCUGCACUUCCCUAUCUAUCCCAUCGCUUGCUCGUCUAUUUCUCCUCCUUUUCAUCCUCCUCUUUCCCUUCCCCUAUUUACUGUUCAUUCUUCUUUUCCUCCUUUUCAAAAUUCCUCAUUUCCUUCUCUAUCCCAUCGCUUGCUCGUCUAUUUCUCCUCCUUUUCAUCCUCCUCUUUCCCUUCCCCCAUUUUCUGUUCAUUCUUCUUUUCCUCCUUUUCAAAAUUCCUCACUUCCUGAUCUAUUAUAUCGCUUGCUCGUCUAUUUCUCCUCCUUUUCAUCCUCCUCUUUCCCUUCCCCCAUUUUCUGUACAUUCUUCUUUUCCUCCUUUUCAAAAUUCCUCACUUCCCUAUCUAUCCCAUCGCUUGCUCGUCUAUUUCUCCUCCUUUUCAUAAUUUCCGUUCACCCCUUUCUCCUUUUAUCCUUCAAUUCAUAUUUCGUCACUUCCAUAUCUAUCCCAUCGUGAGUUCGGGCCAUAUUUUUAAACAUUUCUGCGGCCAAGAACACGUAAUUUACUAGUCUUUCAUGGGAGUUCAGGGCAUUUCCAGGGGUAGUUUUAUGACCCUGGUGGUAGUGUGAGCCUUCCUCUGUACCGUGAACCUAAAAGAACACUCAUUAGAACUCGAUUAACCUCCUUUUUGGCAUUUGAAAAUAGUUGAUGUGAGGGGUGGGAGCAUCUGACAUACCGACCUCCGCCUCCUCCUCCUCUUCAUCGUACUCCUCCCCCGCACUCCGUUUUCUAUUCACUACGGUGUCAGGGCGGACUAUAGAGUUUUUUUUCUCUUUCUAACACUCCUUUCCCAGCCUCCGUUUUCUAUUCAUUACCGUGUCAGGGCAGACUAAAGAGCUUUUGUCUCUUCCUCACACGCCUUCCCAGCACCCCGUUUUCUGUUCAUCACUGUGUCAGGGCGGACUAAAGAGUUUGCAGUUUCCUUUUUAUCUCCCUUCCUUUGUCAUGUUCUGCUGUUUUCUAUUUCCCCUUCUUUUAAUGUCUUCUCUCAUCUGCUUCAAUAUUUUUAAUCUCAUUUUUUUUAUCUUGUUUUUUAUUAUGUUGCUUUGUAUCUUUUAACUGUGUCGGCUCUGCUCUCUCUCUCUCUCUCUCUCUCUCUCUCUCUCUCUCUCUCUCUCUCUCUC